AGAUCCCCUCUUUUGGUGUUUGAGCCCAGCAUAAGGAUUUGCUACAAGCUUCACUUGGUUUCUGAAUGAGACGAGGCUUCUCUGACCACAGUGUUCAUCUGCUCACCUUCACUUCCACAUUGACUUUGAAACUUCCAGAGGAACAGUCUGACACAACGGCGUCUGACGUAGAAGAGCAGAUGAAAUAAAGGGGUGGAACUGAAUUCCUCCAUGCAGAAAAAACAGUACCCACUGACUUUCAUUGAUGUUUGCUGAAAAUUUAUAGAGACUAAAGAUUGGAUGUGAACACAGUAAAGGCUGGUGCAUUUCAGCAGUGGCAACAGUGAUGUGAAAGACGAGACACAUUCCAGAAGGGCAUGCACAGCUGUCACACCAUAAAAUGAGGAGUGUCUCUAUCAGCUCAUCCACAUAAAUUGGUGGAUUAUGAGCAGGGAACUGUGUACAGAGCUGAAUACCAGCUUCAAUGCACUGGAAAAGAUGAUGAUAACAUUUGAAUCUCAUAAAGUCCCAUGAAUGCUCACACAGGAAUGGAAAGAACACUGUAUGCAAGUUUGUCAGGACCUAGUGAACCAACGUAAGGCUGAAGGUGACAGUUUCCUGCAUGGCGUCAUUACCAGUGAUAAGACAUGUCACCACUACAAGCUGGAGUCAGAACAGCAGUCCAUAGAGUGGUGGUGGUAUGUGAAUUGCCCAUCGAAGAAAAAGCCCUCAGUAAGUAAAGAGAUGUGCACUGUGUUUUGGGAUAGGGAAGGGGUGAUCUCUCUGGAUUUCCUGGAACCUGGACAAACCAUCAACUCUGACAUCUACAUCACAAUGGUGACUAAUCUGAAGGCUCAAACUUCCAGAGUCAGGCGAGAGAGGAACACAGUCUUUCUUUCGCAACAUGACAAUACCAAGUUCCAUAUGAAUAUGAAGGCCAUCAAGUACAUUUCCAGUCUUGGCUGGACUAUCCUACCACACCCACGGUAUAGUCCAGAUUUGGCACCUUCUGACUACCGUCUGUUCUGUCUGAUGAAAGAUGGACUGCGUGGGCAGCGCUCUCCUAGCUGUUACACCAUCAUAGCAGUUGUGAAACACUGGGUCACCUCCGCUGGUACAGAUUUUUACGAACACAGCGUGCAGGCUCUUGUUCAUUGCCAGUGAAAAUGCAUAGCUAAUGAUUGUGACUAUGUUGAGAAAUAGUGUUUUGUAGCUGAGGAUUUACUCUAUUGAAUAGUGUUAUUGUGCUCUUUAUAGCCAUAUUUCCAAGGAAAUAAAUAGGAGAUGUUACUUUCAGAGGAUCUACAUACUUUACAAUCAAAAUGCGCUAAAGAUGCUCUAGAAAAAAACAAUACUUUCCAACUGUAAUAAACCCUGACUCUUCAUACUAGAUAAACAUUUUUUAAAGUAUUUUGUCUCAAUGCCUGUAAAAUGAGGGCAUUCAAUUUUAUCUUUUUACAAAAUAAUAGAAGCUCAUAAAACUGGGAUAGCUCUGUAAUUUUUGUUCUGUCAUGGUCCAUGCAUCCACCUGGCACAAUUAGAUCAUAAGUGCUAUGAUGAGCAUUUUGAUUCUUGCAUCUAUUUAAUUUUGGCAAGUCCUUGAUUGCAGCCUUUUGUAUGGAAGCAGCUCCUAGUGCUUAAAAACUGCAGCUAGGAAUUGAGAUAGACAGUAAAUCUAACUGAUUUUGAGUUGAGAACAAUAACUGUAAUGAAGAUUUGCAUUUUUAAAGGCUUGCAAUUAACACUAGUAUUAGCUUCUUCCUCCAGCUAAAAAAAAGUCAAAUUGAACUACCUUUUGCUGAGCUUUUGUUGAGUUUUGUAUUUCUUUUGCUUUGUUGACAAGUAUAAGGCAUGCAGGUCAGGUGCUGUCCAGGUACAAUUUUGAAUAUUUCUCAUACAAAUGGUUAGCCCAUGAGAGUGAAGCAGCAGGAAAAACCUGUAGAUGGGUCAGGAAUCUACAGAUCAUUCCAGGGCCAAACCUGAGGCAUUCACAAUAGAUGACCUGAACCUUACUCUAUCUUGUCAGGCAAAAUUACAUCCUCAUAAGGUAAGAGGAAUUUUUAUUCCAUAGAUUCUUUGCGUGUUAUGUUUUGCAUGAGUGUUUAACUAAUGUGUUCAGUACCAUAAGUGGAAGUGGUUUACUUGUUCCUUACACUCCUCCCAAUUUUUAGAUGUAGAAAAUCAAUGAGGCAUGCACCUUAAUCCAGUUAUUACAGUUUUCUAAACAUUGCCAAAUAUGAAAUAGAAUAAUACUAUGGUAGAUGAAGUAUUUAAGCGUGUCAUUUUGAACAGCUUUAAAGUCAUCUGUUCCUCAAGAAGGCUGAAUCCCUAUUCCUUACAAUGCAAUUUGGCUCCUUCUGGCAAUGUUUCUUUAACUGAAAUCUUUAGCUCAUUUACCCAGUUCAGUAACUGCUAGUAGUCAUGUAGAAGAAUGAUAUACCUGAGUUUUCUCUGGGCCAAGUCCUGAGGUUUCUAAUUAAGGUUUAUUUGGUACUUCAUCAGGCAAAAUGAUACAGAGUUUCCCAUGAUGUCUUUGUCUUUAGAAAACCUCAAGUUUAGGCUAUUUAGUAGGAUGCAGAGCAAAUAAUGUGAAGAGCUCACCAAAAGGUAUGCUGUUAAGAAGCAAAGUUAAGAAUGAACCUGUGAGAUGCCCAUGUGGGAUGGAGGUCAAAGCCUCUCCUUGUUUUGUUAAUGACACACAGGCCUUGGUAUAUGGAAAUUUUGAUUCUCUGAGGUAAAGUCCUUUACCAGUGCGUAAACAAAAGGAAGUAUUAAUACUUAACCAUUGCAGGCUGGAAAAAAAAACACUUGGACAUUCUCACAGAAACUGUGUGUUGCCGUCCAUUUAAGCCACAAACACUUCUCCAUUUACCUAAUGCCUUUAAUCACUCCUUUGGAUGACCCUGUACAGUAUUUAAAAAAUAAUAAUCUGACCAUGCAUUCAUUCUGUCCUGAAUCUUUGGGGAUUCCUAAAACAGAAUUAAAAUAGACUACUGUGGUCUACAGCAUUAGGUCGAAAGUUUUGCCCACACCACCCUAAACAUGCCCACAGAACCAGCAUAUGAUGCUGACUAUAGAUACAAUGUCUUGAUGAUAUUACACCAGCCAGAUAUUUUGACAACUGCCACAAAGCUCCUAAAUAGAAGGACACCAUGCAGCAAUCUUCUACAUCUGGAUGAACAUUGCAAAUUUAAAAUAAGAGUUAGCAAUUUAGAUUGAGCUUUGCUACUGUAGAUAUUUAUUUAAACUAUGCCUGUGGCUUCUAUGGCAAAACUGCUCUAUUCAUUGUUUUAAUGCACUAGCACACUACU